rnacentral:rRNA from 1 species
AACGAACGCUGGCGGCGUGGAUAAGACAUGCAAGUCGAGCGCUGAUUACAGUGUAGCAAUACAUUGUGAUUGGAGCGGCGCAAGGGUGCGUAACACGUGGGUAAUUUACCAUAAAGUUGGGGAUAACUCGCUGAAAGGCGAGCUAAUACCGAAUGUGAUAAUCUGGAGGCAUCUCUGGAUUAUUGAAGUUGGGGAUCGUAAGACCUGACGCUUUANGAU